rnacentral:lncRNA from 1 species
UUUAUGUUUGUUUUUCAUUAAUACUGAAAGGAAAAAAUGCAGCAUUCCCUUUCAAGGAAGUGUUCUGAGAGAUGAUAUGUGUAAACACAUACCUGUCUUUAUUGGAGGAAAGAUAAUUUCUUGAUCAACUCCGUUUUUAUUAUUCUCAUGUCUGACAAUACAUCUGUGUUCUUUGUCCAGUGACUUUUCUGGCACCGUUAACCAGCUAAAUUUCAUGUAUGUGUCGUUAGUCUUCAUGGUGUUCCCCUCCUGUGAUCCCAGAAUUGUGUUGCUCUUCUUUUCUUGCCAAUGUAUCUUAAUAACAUCCGGGAAAAAUUUCUCAAGAAGACAAAGAUUUACGACGUUUCCAACUGGAUUUAAUUGAUUUGAUAUCUCGACCAUUUUUGCAUCAAGAACAAAAACUGUUUUUAAUAAAUAUUUGCUGAGAGGAUGAAUGAACAAAUGAAGAUGUAAAAUGAUGAAGACUCUUUUCAUUGACCUUGG